UGGGGAAUAUUGCACAAUGGGCGAAAGCCUGAUGCAGCAACGCCGCGUGAGUGAUGAAGGCCUUCGGGUCGUAAAGCUCUUUGAUCAGGGAUGAUAAUGACAGUACCUGAAAAACAAGCCACGGCUAACUACGUGCCAGCAGCCGCGGUAAUACGUAGGUGGCGAGCGUUGUCCGGAAUUACUGGGCGUAAAGGAUGCGUAGGUGGAUACUUAAGUGGGAUGUGAAAUCCCCGGGCUCAACCCGGGAACUGCAUUCCAAACUGGGUAUCUAGAGUGCAGGAGAGGAAAGCGGAAUUCCUAGUGUAGCGGUGAAAUGCGUAGAUAUUAGGAGGAACACCAGUGGCGAAGGCGGCUUUCUGGACUGUAACUGACACUGAGGCAUGAAAGCGUGGGUAGCAAACA
rnacentral:rRNA from 1 species